UACGGGGGGGAGCAAGCGUUGUUCGGAUUUACUGGGCGUAAAGGGCGCGUAGGCGGUCAGCACAAGUCAGUUGUGAAAUCUCCGGGCUUAACUCGGAAAGGUCAACUGAUACUGUGCGACUAGAGUGCAGAAGGGGCAACUGGAAUUCUCGGUGUAGCGGUGAAAUGCGUAGAUAUCGAGAGGAACACCGGUGGCGAAGGCGGGUCUCUGGGCCGUAACUGACGCUGAGGAGCGAAAGCGUGGGGAGCGAACAGG
rnacentral:rRNA from 1 species